UUUGGAAUUUUGGACAAUGGGCGAAAGCCUGAUCCAGCGACGCCGCGUGGACGAAGACGGCCUUCGGGUUGUAAAGUCCUUUUGGCAGGGAACAAUUUUUGAGUGUACCUGCAGAAUAAGAGGUUGCUAACUCUGUGCCAGCAGCAGCGGUAAUACAGAGACCUCAAGCGUUAUCCGGAAUUAUUGGGCGUAAAGCGUACCGAUCGGUGGUUUUGAAAGUCAGAGGUGAAAUCACAAAGCUCAACUUUGUGACUGUCCUUUGAAACUUCAGGACUAGAGGGGCAAAGAGGAGACUGGAACAAACGGUGUAGUAGUGAAAUGCGUUGAUAUCGUUUGGAACACCAAUAGCGAAGGCAAGUCUCUGGGUGCCUCCUGACACUGCUAGGACGAGAGCGUGGGUAGCGAAUGGG
rnacentral:rRNA from 1 species